rnacentral:rRNA from 1 species
AGUAAUCCGUAAGAGUUUAAUCUCGACCCGAAGAUGGGAGCUUGGUCCCUGAUGUUAGCGGCGGACGGGUGAGUAACACGUGGGUAACCUGCCUGUAAGACUGGGAUAACUCCGGGAAACCGGGGCUAAUACCGGAUGCUUGUUUGAACCGCAUGGUUCAAAUAUAAAAGGUGGCUUCGGCUACCACUUACAGAUGGACCCGCGGCGCAUUAGCUAGUUGGUGAGGUAACGGCUCACCAAGGCAACGAUGCGUAGCCGACCUGAGAGGGUGAUCGGCCACACUGGGACUGAGACACGGCCCAGACUCCUACGGGAGGCAGCAGUAGGGAAUCUUCCGCAAUGGACGAAAGUCUGACGGAGCAACGCCGCGUGAGUGAUGAAGGUUUUCGGAUCGUAAAGCUCUGUUGUUAGGGAAGAACAAGUACCGUUCGAAUAGGGCGGUACCUUGACGGUACCUAACCAGAAAGCCACGGCUAACUACGUGCCAGCAGCCGCGGUAAUACGUAGGUGGCAAGCGUUGUCCGGAAUUAUUGGGCGUAAAGGGCUCGCAGGCGGUUUCUUAAGUCUGAUGUGAAAGCCCCCGGCUCAACCGGGGAGGGUCAUUGGAAACUGGGGAACUUGAGUGCAGAAGAGGAGAGUGGAAUUCCACGUG